rnacentral:lncRNA from 1 species
ACUCCUUUCCGUUGAGUCAAAGCUGAUUGCCAGUCCCUGUGGCAAAGUGUGUGUGUUGCAAUCUGGAGUUGCAGAGGGAUGGAGUUACACCAGAGACAAAGGUGUGGAGUCUGACCUCUCCAGCAGCAGAGGUUUUGAGAUGCUGCCAAGUUUCAUCGACAGUCCUUCUCAGGAGCUAUUCUCCAUCUGACUGACAGAGCAUCAGCUGGCUCCAUGACCCUUGCACAAGGAAUUCCCCUGAUGGAUCUAAAAGAAUUCCAGUCCCUGAACAGAGAUGGUUCACAACAACAUGGAGGCAACCUCCUUUUACAAGGAUUUCUAUCUGAAUGAACAGAUAUUACUUAUGGAACAGGCCUUCCAACACCAGGAUUCCCAUUUGUCAGAAGUCUGGAAGAGCAGUCACAGUCCUGCACCUGCAAAAUGUGAUCUUCAAUACUCCCCAUCAAAAGUACUCAGUCCUGCAAUGUGAUUCUUCUCCUCCUGGAGUAUCAGAAAGGUCAGGAAGCAGCUCUGUUACUCAGGUGUCCUCUCAAGGAGCGCUCUACAUGCCAUAUGCCAGGAGAAUUUCCUGGGUUGCUAUUAUGGCCUAGCCUUUAAGGUGAGACUUGCCUGCCUCAGUUGAGCCCCUGGGAAGGUAAAGGAGCAAAUCAUCCUGGCAACAAUCUCCAAAGAUAUUAACAACAAUUGUUGAGAGUCUGAUGAGUGAGAAUAGACUGCACAGAUUUGCAAAGGGGAAAUUGUGCUUGACCAACCUGAUGGCCGUCUGUGAUGAAACUGCUAGCUGAGUGAAUGAAGAGAGAGCAAUGGAUAUUGUUUAUCUUGAAUUUAGCAAGGAUUUCAACACUGGACACUCUCUCCGGUAGCAUCCUCAAAAACAAACUGAAUACAGACUAAAUAAAUGGACAAUGAAGUGGACUGAAAAAACUGCU